UACAGAGACUGCAAGCGUUAUUCGGAUUCACUGGGCGUAAAGGGUGCGUAGGCGGCUUCUUAAGUCUGGUGUGAAAUCUCCCGGCUCAACUGGGAGGGUGCGCCGGAUACUGAGGGGCUAGAAUGUGGGAGAGGAAAGUGGAAUUCCUGGUGUAGCGAUGAAAUGCGUAGAUAUCAGGAGGAACACCGGUGGUGUAAACGGCUUUCUGGACCAUAACUGACGCUGAGGCACGAAAGCGUGGGUAGCAAACAGG
rnacentral:rRNA from 1 species